rnacentral:rRNA from 1 species
CGUGCCAGCAGCCGCGGUAAUACGGAGGGUGCAAGCGUUAUCCGGAUUUAUUGGGUUUAAAGGGUCCGUAGGCUGAUUUGUAAGUCAGUGGUGAAAUCUCACAGCUCAACUGUGAAACUGCCAUUGAUACUGCAAGUCUUGAGUGUUGUUGAAGUAGCUGGAAUAAGUAGUGUAGCGGUGAAAUGCAUAGAUAUUACUUAGAACACCAAUUGCGAAGGCAGGUUACUAAGCAACAACUGACGCUGAUGGACGAAAGCGUGGGGAGCGAACAGGAUUAGAUACCCUGGUAGUCCACGCCGUAAACGAUGCUAACUCGUUUUUGGGUUUUCGGAUUCAGAGACUAAGCGAAAGUGAUAAGUUAGCCACCUGGGGAGUACGUUCGCAAGAAUGAAACUCAAAGGAAUUGACGGGGGCCCGCACAAGCGGUGGAUUAUGUGGUUUAAUUCGAUGAUACGCGAGGAACCUUACCAAGGCUUAAAUGGGAAUUGACAGGUUUAGAAAUAGACUUUUCUUCGGACAAUUUUCAAGGUGCUGCAUGGUUGUCGUCAGCUCGUGCCGUGAGGUGUUAGGUUAAGUCCUGCAACGAGCGCAACCCCUGUCACUAGUUGCCAUCAUUCAGUUGGGGACUCUAGUGAGACUGCCUACGCAAGUAGAGAGGAAGGUGGGGAUGACGUCAAAUCAUCACGGCCCUUACGCCUUGGGCCACACACGUAAUACAAUGGCCAGUACAGAGGGCAGCUACACAGCGAUGUGAUGCAAAUCUCGAAAGCUGGUCUCAGUUCGGAUUGGAGUCUGCAACUCGACUCUAUGAAGCUGGAAUCGCUAGUAAUCGCGCAUCAGCCAUGGCGCGGUGAAUACGUUCCCGGGCCUUGUACACACCGCCC